rnacentral:ncRNA from 1 species
GUUAAGUUUUAUUCUUGCUUUUCCGUUCAGUUUAUUUUUGUUCUAUAUGUAAGUUUGUGCGUGAGUUUGUUGUAUCUCUAGAUGAGUAAUAAUUUGGUUUAUUAAUUUUCAUUAGUUAUUAUUGGUUGGUCAAGUAUACUUGUAUUUAGCAAUAGGUUUUAGUUUCGGUUAAAUUUUGUGCCAGCAGCCGCGGUUAUACCUUGGAGGCGUUUGAAUGUGUUCGGCAAUAGUGUAGUUUUAUAUUUUUAUUAUUUGGUUUUGUUUAAAUUUUGGUUUGUUGGGUGAAAUUUUUAUUUUUGUUAAUUACCUUUUUAAUUUUGUAAGCUAUGAAAUUCUUUGUGUAAACUAGGAUUAGAUACCCUAUUAUUUUGGAAUGUUAAGGUUUUGUGUCUGAGUAGUAUUAGUUAUGUUCUUGAAACUUAAAGAAUUUGGCGGUAUUUUAUUCCAUCCAGAGGAAUCUGUCUCGUUAUCGAUAGUCCGCGUUGGACCUUACUUAGUUGCUUUGGUUUGUAUACCGCCGUUUAUUGAUUAUCUUUUUAGAGUUGUUAAUUUUCUGGUUUCUUUAUUUUGAUUUAUUUCAGGUCAAGGUGCAGCUUGUUUCUAAGUGGUAAUGAUGGAUUACAUUUUUGUUUGUUAUUGGAUUGUUGGUUUUGAUAUUAACAUGAAAUUGGAUUUGGUUGUAAUGUUUUGUAGAUUGUUUUCGUGAUAAUUGGUUCUGAGAUAUGUACACAUCGCCCGUCGCUCUCGUUUAAUUUUUGUUAAUGAGAUAAGUCGUAACAAAGUGGUUGUACCGGAAGGUGCAGCUGGAUUGAU